CAUAAUCUAACUAGUCUACCACGAGUGCAGUACAGUGGUGUUGUGUCGUGAAAUAUGAGUAAAAUAAUACGGGUGUGAGCUGUACACAACAUAUUCAUAAACAACAUAAUUUAAACAUGUUUUCUACAAUGUUUAGCUUUUAUUCUAGAUGUGGUUUUAGGAAAUAGUACUUAAACAUAAUAUUGUGCGGUGUGAUGAUGAAUUACGCAAGCCAUUGAGUAAAUAUAUUUUUUCUAUAGAUAACGUUGCAGUGAUAAAACUUCUUGACCGAAAACAACUCCAUUAAAUAAGUGUCCAGGGAGUUGAUAGUGUGGAGAUGGACAUCAUCACAGAAAUCACUAAAUAUUUAUAUUUUAGGUAAUGUGAAUGCACUACUCGAGACGCUCGGCCGCGUACCUCUGCGAGGUUAGUUAUAGAGGAGGAUAGUCGCUGCAGGGAACUCCUCCGCUGUGUGGUGACUAGCUUGCGAACUACAUUAAUCGGUCGCCUCAGCGCUAGCAUCGUCUGUGGUGCGAAGAAUGACUCAGAAGGUGUCACGUCCCCACUAUCCUCCUGAAUCGACGGAACCUUUAAACCAAAAUACUUUUCUAGGAACACAAUACGUAUAUAAGCUUUGUUAUUUUGAUGUGCUUGUUACAAGUGCUGCCUAAGAUACCGUAUUGUUUGUUGUUUGAUAACAGGUAUUUUGUACGCAAUAUUAAAUAAAAAAAUGAUUUACGAGUUGUAUUUGAUUGUCCUAAUCUUAAAAACUGUGCAAUACUUUAGCCUACGGAAGCAUUUUUACAUUAAACGCUAUCCAUACCUGCAUCCGUGUUGUUCUAAGUUGUUAGUGCUGUACAAAACUAUUGGUGACGAUGUUGUUUGUCAGUAAGUUUCUCUAUAUAGUACAGCUGUUAAAGUAUUUAUAUUUUUUUCAAUAUUAUUAAUUGUAAUAUAAAAUAACUUAU